CAUCCAUUCAUCCUUUUGUGUUGGCUAGCUAUUUCUCUGUACUUCUGAGCCCACUGACUGAUUUAACACAGAUUUGACAGAUAGGUAGAAAUCAAAGAUCUGAAGUUCCUGUACCUUUUGUGAGCCUCUUUACAGGUUUCCAGGUUUUAUCAGUUUUUACUUUUAUCUCAGUUGGACUACUGACCUGCUUGAAGUUAAGAAUGAAUUUCGUUACUGCACUGAAUUGGGUGCACAUACAAACUCAAGAUCUCAGAAGAUUUUGAUAUGAUGAUAUUCCUCAAACAGUGGCCUGUUCUACCUUUUGGGUGGAUAUUUUGCGGACAAGUCAUUUCUUGUUAACUUUAUCCAAUCACCCAUGGAAGAAAAAAAAAACAUUUUGCUUCUAAAGAGUCUUUUCGUAUCAAAGUAGUAGUCCUCAUUAUUCCCUUCAGACAAUGCUUUGGACCAUUAAAACAUAUACGAAUGGCAGAAUUGAUGGCAUUAAGUAACUUUGAGAGCACUGGAAUCUGCACCAGCACAGGCUUUCUUAAGGCACUUUCAGGAAUAAAAGCAAAGCUGAGUUUUGAGCUGAGAGCACUGAAAGAACUGAAGCCUACAACAUGUUUUGCUCAAUGUUUCCAUGAUGCUAAGAACUCUAGGAACUGCUUGAGUUCAGACUUGGAUUUUGGCUUAUGGAAAAGCAUCCUCUGUGUUCACUGAUAACGUGACCCUUGUCGUUGCCAAUACCUUUCUGUCUUCCCUGGAUCCAAGAAGUGAUUCCUUGUUUUUGGCCCUCUCAGGGGUGAGGGAGCUGGAAGGUUAGGCUGCUUUGUCUGACAGCUUAGACACCUUAAAACAGAAUGGUAUCAGUGACUCAGGAAAUAAUGACUUGAAGAAAAAGUUAAGUACCACUGAGUUACUUGUUGUUUGUUUUAUAAUCACUCUCUUACUCUCUGCAUACUCAUUUUGUGGUAGAUUAUUAAGAUCUAAAUUAAUCUCUAAUAUGAAUAAGUGUUUGCUCUCCGAAUUUGUCACAUUUGUAAAUUGUUUCUGAAAAAUUAUUUCUGUGUAUUGAAAACAAUUUCCUUAUAUUCCCUUCGAUAGUAUAUACCACCUGUACUGUGUACCAAUGUUUAUAUUGACAGUUAUCUAUUACCUAUAUACAAAGCAAAAAUCUAAAUGAGAAUUCUGUAUAUUUUGGAUGUGUACAUUCUGAUAAUCUUCCCCAAAUCAGGUGGGAUGGAGAAAAGAACUUCACUUCACG